UUUUUGAAAACCCCUGAAUGCUGGAUGAUUAAAACCAUGACUACUUAAAUAUUUCCAAAAGAGAUGAGAAGCUCAACGGUGAAAACUUAGACAGGCGGUUUGUCAGUGGCAGCAGAGGUGGUGAGAGUGUUUGUAGAGAAGCCAAGUAUGUGAGAGGUCUGGGUGGGCUGUGGAGUGAGACAUUAACCUCUCCUUGACCCCAUAGGAAGAGGAUUUGGACUUUAAGUGAGGAAUCUAUGUGAAAGGCUGGGACCAUGGAGACAUUAUGGACUUAAAGAGGCAUGAGUGGAGGAUGAAGCUGACUCACAGUUUCCAUCAUCUCCCUCUUUAAACUGGCUCCUCUGCAUCUUGAAGUGAUGUAAUUUCUGUCAUAACGUCCAUUCACAAAUGAAACUGAGGACAGUCCAGACAGGUUGCAUGCUGCUGUACAGUAUACUCUUUACCCAAUAAUGAGCGCUUUGUAUUUAUUUUAGUCUAUAGAAACAUUUGACCAAAAUGUGCCUGCAAAAACUGUUCUUAAAACCAAAUAUUGCUCUAAACUGCUGCAUAUUCAAAUCAUUGCAUGUACAAUUUUAACUUUGUUGGGUUCUGUCACUGACUACAGUCAUUAAGAAUGAUUUAUGUCUGCAAGUGUUUAGCUUAGCAUGUCUGCAGUAUAUAUGUUUCCAGGGUUGGACUGUUCAGAUGAGUCUCAGUUCAUGUUCAGGGUUGUUUUUAUGCUUUACAGUGUGUUUGAUGUUCUUAUGUCAAAAUGACUUCUGUCAUCUUCUACAUGCUAUAUUUGACUUGAAUAACAGUUCAAUUAAAUAUGUUAAAGCAUG